GAUCUUUUGAAAGCUAUCCCUAUAACUGGAGGACCUGCCUGACUUGUUUGGCCUGUCUGCUCCCUCAACUUUCUCUGUGGCAACAGUGAGCUCUCCAGUGAGCAUCUCAGCACAUAUACAGUAUGCCCCACAUCUUCAGCUGCUGCGACGCUGUCGAAGAGGAGACAAUGGUCAUAGAGUUAAAGACGGAGAGAGAGAACUUAUUUAUGGAUAAACUGGAUGUGGAGGAAGGCCGAAUUACCUCUUAUGAGGUGGAAAAGCUCAUGAACACGAAUCCCAAUAAGAAGAAAGACACUAUGAAACCUGUUAAGAAGGAAAAGCCUAAAAACGGGGGAAAGCGCAUGAACAUGAAUCACUACGCCACUAAGAAGAGUGUGGCUCAGAGCAUGCUGGACGUCGCCUUGCUGAUGGCCAUCUCGUCCCAGCUGAAGACCGUUCUCUAUGUGGGGCCUCAAUACCGUUUCUACAUCCCCCUCGUUGUCCUGCUGUCUCUGUCCAUCACGCUGCAGGUCAUAGUGGGGCUGCUGCUCCUCUUUAUCGGCAAGUCACUCAGACAUUUUGCAACUCCACUGAUAUCAUUCCUCCUCCUCCAUCUUUCUUGCACAUUCAAUACAAGCCUUUGUAAGAGCUUGUCAGUCUUACUGUAUAUUUAGUAGUCAAAUCAAACACUAAACUCUUCUGUGAUUUGAAUAUUCUUUCUCGUAAUAUAAACACUUAUUUGACAUCUAUUUAUCUACAAGCAGUGUUUUGGUAUAGGUAAUGUCAGAGGACAUGUGCCCUUGUUGCUUUAGAGUCUUGUGUAAAAGGUGGUUGAGGUUAAUGUCAGGGUAAGUCUCCAGGGGAUGAAUCAAAGUCAUUGCAAGAUACAAAAUCAUAUUUGUUGAUUGGUUUUGCACUCUUGUGUUUCUUGAUUAAGGAUAAGGAUAUAUAUAUAACUAUAAUGAAAUAUUAACAAUGGUUUAUGGUUUGCAUUUAAGUAGAAAUACUGUCAGUCUGACUGUGAAUCAAACAAAUCCCCCAAUUGCUUGACUUAGUUUUUUUCUGCAACAGGAUUUUCUCUCUACUUUAUUUUAUUCUGUUUACUACUUGUUGCUGAGGGGAGGUUAGCAGCUUUCAUGUGAAUGUGACAGCAGGCACAACGGAGUGAUGGAGAGAGAGAAAGAAAAGAGGAGGAGGAAGGGGUAGAGGUGGAAGUGGUGGUGGGAGAAGACUGAGGAGGUCAAAAGGAGGAAAAAUAAAUGAGGGGAAAAUUAUGAGUAAAGACAAGAGGCAAAAAAGAGAGAGGAGAGGAGAGGCAGUCAUGGCAUCCUCUCAGCUGUUUGCUCGCUACACCAUUUGAUGUGAGUUGAGGUUUUCCCUUUUCCUCUCUUCAACUUUUUAAUGAAGCUAAUUUAGUUUCUGCUGUUGUGCCAUUGUGUGCCCGCAGGGACGUAUGAUCUGAACGAGGAGGAGAAACACAAAAGGCUGAACAUAAUGAACAAUGCAGUGACACUGUUUGUCUUCUUCAUCGUCCUCAUCAACGUCUUCAUCACAGCAUUUGGAUUGCAGGGAUAUGUACUCAGUUCAUUCGUGGCACCUGGGAUGUCGUUAAAAGAGCCUAAGCCUUCCUUUCCUCCCUGGGACAGUAACACGACUGGACUAACACUCCCGGGACCAAAAUAAGACUUUCCUUGUUCACCUGUUAUGUCAAAGCCUUGAAAUCUAAUAAAGGCCUUUUUAGUACUUCUGUAUCAGCUAGCUGUUCAAAUUACAACUCAGAUCACUCGGGAUCACU